AUGAAUAGAGCUGCUAUAAACAUCUGUGUGCAGGUUUUUGUGUGGACAUAAGUUUUCACCUCUUUUGGGUAAAUAACAAGAAGUGCAGUUCCUGGAUUGUGUGGUAAAAGUAUGUUAAGUUUUGCAAGAAACUACCAAAAUGGCCAUACCAUUUUUGCAUUCCUGCUAGCAAUGAAUGAGAGUUCCUGUUACUCCACAUCAUCACCAGCAUCUAACAAACUUUUUUGCCAAGGUAUUUACUUUCUUAAUUUUAUUUGGCUGUAUGAUAAAAAGCAAUGUGAGUUUACUUGAAUUUGUUUCUGCUUUUGAUACAAGAUCGUCUCCUAUGAGUGUGCUGGCUAAUAGAGGGGAUACUAGUUGGAAUUACAUAUUAGGUUUGGAUAUUGGUUUAAUUUGAAUAAUGAGAGCUAGCUUUGACCCUGCUUUAUGUGAACUAGAUGCAGGUCUGCAUAAAAAAUAGAGGCUCCUUUUAGAUUUUUGGCCAGUGCCAAAAAUAGUAACCUGUGCCCUGAAAGAGAGUCCUCCCCACCACUGCUCUGUGAACACUGCAGUCUUCCAGUGGAGCAGCUCUUGGUGUUUCCCUACUUCUGCAUAUUUUCAAAUUUAAAUUUUUGAAUAGGUGCUAUUCAUUGUUCAAAAGUUAGAAGUAUUGGUUGGGGGCGGGGGAAGCUAAAAGUAUAAACAGAUAUUCAGUGAUAGGUAUUCCCCCAAACUUCUGUCUACCUAGUUCUCACCCCCUAAAGUAAUCUCUGGUCUUGUUUCUUCUGUUCCCUUCCAGUCUUGUUGUACGUAUAUAAGCAAAUAGAAAUAUAGAGUCCUGAUUUUCCUUUUUUUACACGAAAGGUCGUAUGCGUUUCACUAUUCUGUGCCUUGCUUUUUUUCACUUAGUACACCUUGGAAGUCUUUCUGUAGUAAUACAUGGAAAGUUGCUUCAUUUUGUUUUAGAGCCACAUGGUAUUCCAUUACAUGAAUGUCUAACCAGUUGCCUUUUUGCUGGAAUUUGACCUAUUAAUGCUUUUGAGUUUUCAGACUUCAUUUCUUCCUGAUCCCCAUGGCCAGAUUCUUAGACCGAAUGGGUGUCUCUUAAUUCCACAUUGCUCCUUUGGGUCAUUUAUCCUUGACAAGGAUAUGAUUCAGCAAGGAUCUCCCAGGAAUAGCAGCUAAACCAAAAAUGAAGGCUCAGAAAACAAAAUUCUGAAAAAAAAUAAAAAUAUAUGGAGAGGCUUUAUCAAACUGAAAGACAGUCUCAGCAUGUGUGUGUGUGUAUGUGUGUGUGAGUGAGAGAGAGAGAAA